AAUGAACGCUGGCGGCAGGCUUAACACAUGCAAGUCGAACGAGUGGCGGACGGGUGAGUAAUGCUUGGGAAUCUGUCAUAUGGAGGGGGAUAACUACGGGAAAUUGUAGCUAAUAGCGCUUACCAUAGUUUGAUCCCAAGGGGGAUUAGGUAGGUGGUGAGGUAAAGGCUGACAAACAGACGAUCUCUAGCUGGUCUGAGAGGACGAUCGGCCACACUGGAACUGAGACGCGGCCCCGACUCCUGCGGGAUGCAGCAGUGGGGAAUAGUGAGCAAUGGGGGCGACCCUGACGCAGCCAUGCCACGUGAAUGAAGAAGGCCUUCGGGUUGUAAAGUCCUUUCGUUGGCGAGACGUUAACUACAGAAGAAGCACCGGCUAACUCCGUGCCAGCAGCCGCGGUAAUUC
rnacentral:rRNA from 1 species